AUGAUGUUUGGUUGGAGGAAAGGGUGUCGCGCGAGCAUUAGAGAGAAUCCAGAGGAUCGAUCCCAGUGGAUCGAUGAUGUAGAAGAACAGGGAAGGCUGGAAUCAGAGGGUGUAUGUUACAGUAAUGGUGGAGGUGGAAAGCAGCAGGACGGAGGUGAAGGAAAGUGUUAUGAAGGGAAUGAGUUUGAGGGGAAGAGAGAAAAAGAGUUUAUUUUGGAAUUUACAAUCGUCUCGGCCUCUGCGUUUUUGGGAUGA